UCGGGAAUCUUGCACAAUGGGCGAAAGCCUGAUGCAGCAACGCCGUGUGGGCGAGGAAGGUCUUCGGAUCGUAAAGCCCUGUUGUUGGGGACGAAGGGCGAAGGGUUAAUAGCCCCUAGCCUGACGGUACCCUUCGAGGAAGCCCCGGCUAACUACGUGCCAGCAGCCGCGGUAAUACGUAGGGGGCGAGCGUUGUCCGGAAUUAUUGGGCGUAAAGCGCGCGUAGGCGGGUCAUUAAGUCAGGGGUGAAAUCCCGGGGCUCAACCUCGGAAUUGCCUUUGAUACUGGUGACCUCGAGUCCGAGAGAGGUGAGUGGAACUCCGAGUGUAGAGGUGAAAUUCGUAGAUAUUCGGAAGAACACCAGUGGCGAAGGCGGCUCACUGGCUCGGUACUGACGCUGAGGUGCGAAAGCGUGGGGAGCAAACAGGAUUAGAUACCCGUGUAGUCC
rnacentral:rRNA from 1 species